ACGCUGAAGCUUGGUGCUUGCACCGAGCGGAUGAGUUGCGAACGGGUGAGUAACGCGUAGGUAACCUGCCUCUUAGCGGGGGAUAACUAUUGGAAACGAUAGCUAAUACCGCAUAAAAGUCGACAUUGCCUGAUGUUGACUUGAAAGGUGCAAUUGCAUCACUAAGAGAUGGACCUGCGUUGUAUUAGCUAGUUGGUGAGGUAACGGCUCACCAAGGCGACGAUACAUAGCCGACCUGAGAGGGUGAUCGGCCACACUGGGACUGAGACACGGCCCAGACUCCUACGGGAGGCGGCAGUAGGGAAUCUUCGGCAAUGGACGGAAGUCUGACCGAGCAACGCCGCGUGAGUGAAGAAGGUUUUCGGAUCGUAAAGCUCUGUUGUAAGAGAAGAACGAGUGUGAGAGUGGAAAGUUCACACUGUGACGGUAUCUUACCAGAAAGGGACGGCUAACUACGUGCCAGCAGCCGCGGUAAUGCGUAGGUCCCGAGCGUUGUCCGGAUUUAUUGGGCGCAAAGCGAGCGCAGGCGGUUAGAUAAGUCUGAAGUUAAAGGCUGUGGCUUAACCAUAGUACGCUUUGGAAACUGUUUAACUUGAGUGCAAGAGGGGAGAGUGGAAU
rnacentral:rRNA from 1 species